GCCGAAGUGGUGAAAUUGGUAGACGCGCACGGUUCAGGGCCGUGUGGGGGCAACCCCGUGUGGGUUCGAGUCCCACCUUCGGCACCA
rnacentral:tRNA from 1 species